rnacentral:lncRNA from 10 species
AUUUGUGGUCUCCUCUCUUGGCUUUGGAGCCCCCCUCCCUCUGUCUCUGUACGGGGGUGCCUUCUUCUUUUCUUCUUCUCCCUUCUUUCUUGCCUAUUAAACUCUCCACUUCUUAAUACCACUACACGUGUAUCUGUGUCAUUUUAUCCAAUUUGCAUGAGACAAGAGCCCUGGUGCCCCUCCACUCAUCAGAGCCGUAUCAUUUUGGUGCAUGGGCCAGGAAAAUCCAAAGUACAGCCUUCGUUGGAGUGGGAGACCUUGCCAUCAUGCGAGGCUGGGAAAACUUCUGAGGUAACUGAGAAUUUCUGGUCAGGGCACACUCUGGCAUGAUUCAAGGGCCUCUGGACCGGACGCAGCCUCCGACAGCCGGGUGUUGGCAGAGAAUCCUCAACUAUCCUGUGGCCAAAUUUUCUUUCUGUCUCUAUCCAUGGUCUCUUACCCUCUCUGUGUGUCUAAUGUGCAGGGAUCUUUACAGUUCAGGGAAACAGGUCUGCUAGAAGAGAUGGUGAAUCACGGCAGCCAGUAACUCAAUAAACGUUUCUCUAUGGUUUCUCUGGUGAGCACGUGGUAUUUCUAAGCCACCUAGUGGCAAUAAAAAUCCUCUUCAUGAGACACAUUGCUGGUUCUCUACGGUACAUUGCAGCUUCGCAAUUUUUCUAUUUUGCGCUUUUUUACUGCUAUUUCUGUGAACGGGAAGGCUCUGCUUUUAACAGGAGUCAAAUGUCUUCUGCAGCCAGAUUUUAGUCCUAAUAUUGUCCCAUCAGUAGAAAUUGGCCAUUUGCUUCCUACGUUCUUUUAAGGCACCUAUUCUGUCUCCAGUUAAGAUAGUACUUAAUUAGUAGGGAAAUUUUAAGUCUGGAAGUUAACCGGAACCAUUUUCCUAUGGGUAAAUGUUUUAUCAUAGGCCAUAAUAGCAGGAUUUAGAGUUCAAUCUAGCAUGCCCCCUGCCUUAAAGGGGUCUUGCCCAAUUACAUGAUUUUUCUUGAAAUCCAUUUUUUUAGGAAGGCACAAAGGCCACACAAGUCUGGAAGGUCAAAGAGAAAUAAAAGGCAGAGGACUAAGGCUGCUUGGGGAAAGCGUGACUAAGGCUCAAAAGUUGAGUUCCUCUGAUGUCAUGGCUUGGAGGGUCACGCCUGCAGUCACAGGUCACUGGUGGCCCAUUUAAAUAGGUGCUGGGAAUCCAGAAACCACGGAGAGAAGAUAGUUGGGGGAACUCCCCCUACUGCUUUUGUCUCCAACCUGGAUCACAUACCAAAAGGAAGGAGACUAAAAGAACGCUUUUAUUCUCACUUCUCUUUCUAGAUGGGAAUUAGAUCAUGUAUAACAUGCACUGCCCUCGAGUGUAUUUUAAAGCACUGGGACUCCUUCAACUCUGAAACUUUGAAGAAAAAGUGGCUUAUUUUCUUUUACACAAGGGCAUGGCGUAUUUGUUUUUGUUUUUUUUUUGUUUUUUUUG